AGCAUGCAUCACCCACAACGAGGCUAUCUCCGAGAGCAGUCAUUCCGAAACCUGAUCUGGGAGAAAGUGCAGACUAAAUAAAAUUUCAUUUUGACUUGGCCUCCCGCUGAGAAUGGGACUGCUUUGUUUCAGCCAACAGAAGCAGCAAGCCAGAAAGAAAAGGAUCCACUUUUUUUCUCUUUUACAUCAAAAAAAAAUUGGGAAGGCGAUAUCUCUUCAAACAACUUCUUCCUAGCUGUGUUGUUUACUGCUGUCAGAAGAUAUCAGGUGUCAUCUCUGCCAAGACCCCAUGAACAGACUGCAAGACCAUAAAAAGAGGUUGUAGAGCUUUGUCCAUGCACAACUAUACAAAUACAGUAUACUGUACUUCAUAGAUACAAUGUAAGCAGCAUCUUGCUGCCGAGAAGCAUACCACUUUCCUGACACUUUUCUAUUGGUGAGAGAAAGCUGGAUGUCUGCCUCUUUAUUUUACUUGAAAAAAUGUAUGUGUGGACAAUCUAUUAUUAUAUUAUUAUAUUACAUUCAAUGCACAGCAAGUUAAGUUGAGUAAACAUUGUGCAUUGAACUGUAGGAAGCAUUUGCAGCAAUUGAGUGAAAAUGUAAGUGGUAGGAAAUUAUUUCUUUUCCUGGGCCCACCUGUUCUUUAAACCGGCACUGGAUGCAAGUCAGGAUAACAUAGUACUGUUUGAUGCUGCAUUAUCAACAAGCUGUAUGUUUCAUCCAGAAAAUGUGGUGUUCUUACAGUACCUCAUGGUGGUGUAGUUUUAAUUUCAUUUACAAAAAUCUUGGCUGACAGCAACAUUGUCCUCUUUGCAUUAAUCAUAAUACUUUAACAUCACCACAUAGCUGGAAUUCUAAAUAAAUGAUAAAAAAAAUUCCCUUUCCUUGAACAUUUUGCAGUUCGUUAACAAGCACUAGCACUUGCUGUUGAUGAGAGGCUCAAGAGUAGGUCGUUAGUCAAUUUGUUUUUGAAGAGUAAAGAUAUAAAAACUAUUUUUUUUUAAAUAUUGGCCUUAUAUUCAAUUUUUAGCCAGUUGACAGAAAACAGACCAAUGCAUAAAUCAGCCAAGUGUUUGAACAUAAACUCUGGAAUUAUAUUUUCAGCCUGGGUAGAAUUUGCCAUCAACAAGCAUACACAUAAACACAUGAGAAAGGUCUCAAUCAGAAUAUACAAUAUACAAUAUAGCAAUGUCAAUGUGCCUUUAUCUUGUGUCUUAGUUGAAUUGCUUUGGAGAUAAUCUGUUUAGUGGCAAAAUAUAUGUUACAGUACAUGGACCAGAUGUAAUCCUGAACAGCCACCAACUCGGGUGGCAGUACAUCUGGCCCCAUAGUUGCAAAAGUCUGCCUUGAACACAGUUAAGAAUGAACACUUGCUUCUCCAACCCAUUCCCAUUAUCCAGUGCAAGCCUUUGCAUCUCUGCAAACUUCAUCAUCUUGCCCUGCAAACCCAUUUACUUUGGAAAACAACUGCAGUCACUCCAGCGCAAAUCUAAGUGCAUGACAUUACCAAGUAAGAUUUCUUCUGCUGCUCUACAAUUUUGUGUGUCAUAAAUAGCAUUCAAAGCAUUCAAGUGGUUCUAUAGAAAAAUGAAACUUUGGAUAACGGAAAGGCUGUAUUAAGCAUUAUGGUUUUUAAGUUGGGACAGGUUCUUGCAUGUAUGUCAGAUUUGCAGGUGAGGCUUGUUCAUUAAUUUAUUGGUGUGACUGGCUGGGAGGCCAAUGUUUUUUGUGGGAGUGGUUGUGUCUGGCUGUGGAAUCUAUAAAACCUUAGGUUGGUCUGGUAUUUUAUGUAGCCUUGGAACUUUUGCCAUUUCUGUAUCACUGAUGUGACAAAGUCAAGAAAAAGUAAAUAAAACAA